GAAAAAGUUCCGUAUUGAACAGUGCCGUUUGUCAAGAGAUAGUCCAGUACUCACAUAUAUGGAGGUGGUAUCCAGUUUGUGGCGUCCCACGUGGAGUGACUGGAGGGACGUGGACUAUGAAUGCACAGCCACUUGACUGCUGGGAUCAGGGAGUCGAAAGCUCUGUUCUGAAGACUUCGCAUCAUUAGACUUGUUUACCCAAAAUUCUGAAGGAUCUUCUCUACUUAAGGAUAUUGAUGUAAUUAUGGAGGAUAUUCAAGCAAAACUCUGGCUGCGUCA